GACGAACGCUGGCGGCGUGCUUAACACAUGCAAGUCGAACGGAAAGGCCCUGCUUUUGUGGGGUGCUCGAGUGGCGAACGGGUGAGUAACACGUGAGUCACCUGCCCUUGACUUUGGGGUAACUUCAGGAACCUGGGGCUAAUACCGGAUAGGAGCUCCUGCUGCAUGGUGGGGGUUGGAAAGUUUCGGCGGUUGGGGAUGGACUCGCGGCUUAUCAGCUUGUUGGUGGGGUAGUGGCUUACUAAGGCUUUGACGGGUAGCCGGCCUGAGAGGGUGACCGGCCACAUUGGGACUGAGAGACGGCCCAGACUCCUACGGGAGGCAGAAGUGGGGAAUAUUGCACAAUGGGCGGAAGCCUGAUGCAGCAACGCCGCGUGCGGGAUGACGGCCUUCGGGUUGUAAACCGCUUUCGCCUGUGACGAAGCGUGAGUGACGGUAAUGGGUAAAGAAGCACCGGCUAACUACGUG
rnacentral:rRNA from 1 species